CGAAUAACGCCUAUUUGUUAUAAUAACAACUUGCAAUGCUGGUAAAUAUUAGGUAAAUAUUUAUUUUUAUCAAUCUGAUAUGUAGACAUGUGCUUUAAAAAAGCAUUUACCAUGUUGCGAUGGUAAUAUAUCCGUGAUUUAAGAGACGAUCUUAAUAAUUCUGGAAUAACAGUUUUUUUAACAAACCGACACAAUAAAUAUGAAACAAUUUUAUAGAGGAAACUAAAAACUUAACAGAGCAAUUCACAAACAACAAUAAUAACAGAACUUUCUAAUGACAACAACUGAAUUAUCAAAAGUGUGAACAUUUCAAUGAGCAGUCACAAUGAAUAAACACGUAUCUGUAAGCUGACAUAUAAAGAUCAACUUUUUUCUACUUUAUUUGUUUAAACCUAUUGUUCAUGGUUCACUACAAGUCUGUCAGAUUGCGGUUUGAACCAUAGUUAUGCGUCUGAAUAAGGAAGGGAAGCUAUACUACUUCAAAAGUUAAUAAAAAAGAAUGACAAUGGAGAAUGUGUCAAAGAGACAAAAACCCGACCAAAGAAAUAUACAUAUAUAUCUUCGAUACUAUGAUUUCAGUAAAUGAGUUUUUAAUUAAAAUGGAAAAAGUGCAAAAUAAAUUUAGGGGAAUUUAUCCCAUACUUUUUCACAAAAAAAAGGAAACAAAUGUUUUUUUCUUUACUAUUAGAAUCGUCUAUUAAGGAAGCUCGCUUGUCUUGUUUUGGAAUUUGGUCAGAUUUUAAGAAUCCUCUGGUGUUGUUCAUUUUAAUGCCGUAACAAAUUUUGCCAGGAGACCCCCAAAUUUCUUUUUAUAAUUCUUUUACAUAUGUAAUGAUAAAUUUUAAUCAUUUUUAAUAGUUUUUGAGGACCUAAACUUGUCAACGAGCACGGUUACCUAUAUAUAUAUAUUUUGCUCUUUUGAUUCCUUAUUCAAUCUCCUAUCAUAAUGCUAGUUCUUUGAAAAACUAGUUAUUUUGAAUUGCGAAGCCAACUCCCUUAAAAUAUAUACUCUGCGCACGUUUCUGUUUCGUUUAAUAUUCUUUUAUCUUUGAUGUUUGAUGUUUUACCAUAGCAUAUAUGCAAAGAAACAUUAGACAUCACUUUAACAUGUAGAAAAGCGUAAUUGUGUUUUAAAUACGAUAAUGAGUAUCUCAAAAUAACACCAGAGGGUGAUCAUUUUAUGAAAACAUCCUAUGCCCUACUGUUAAAACUCGUGAUGACAACCGACAAACGAACUAGUAAUAUACCCAAAUCUCCAAUGAUAUUUCUUAUCUAUAACAUUGCAUUAAUGAUAAUAAAGUAAAAGUCAAAUCAAGUUUAGCUCAGUUACAAUCUUCACAAAGCGACCAACCACGAAUACGAGACACCACAUGAAAAUCAGAAUAUGUUCAUGUUAUGCUAAAUUUUAAGUAACUUCAUACGAAUAUUACAAUCUGUUUUAGUUAGGAUAUGUUUGAUAUAAAUCUAUCUAUACUUAUAUAAAGGAAUAUUUGUUUUCCCCAAUCAAAUUCAAAAAUACAAUUAUUUGUAUUUUAUUUAAAUUGUAUUAGUUGCUUUCUUAUUAGAAUUACGUGUAAGAAACAGCUGAACUUUUCUCUGGAUUCUACAUCAUCAUUACAAAUUACUUUUAAAUUUUCCGUUUCACUUUGUCUUUUGUUUUGGCUUUUUAAUGCCAAUUGCUACCUUGAUUUUUCGACACUUCCAAUAUUUGAGCUUUCAUUAGGAGGGAUUAAUAUCCUUUUUAAAAAAACUUGUACUCUUUGAAAGAAUGUAGCGUAACACUGAUGUGAGCACGAAAUAGAUUUGACAAAAACGAGAAAAACUGUCACUGCUACCAAAUCAACAUCAAAUUAGGACAGUACGGACCUUUGAUGAAGAGAACAAUGAACUAAUGACGAUCUCGCGAUGACGUCAUCCCGUAGUUUAUAUGUUAGAUCUUUGUACCUUACGAAUGCAAAUGUAUAAUUACUGUCUUCCAUUUUUUAAUAAGGAACACAUUGUCUAUUACAGAUGGUUGAAGAAAGCAAAUUGAACAAACAACUUAACAAGAAAUGUGGAAGUUUCAUUGUAUCUGUGGUAAAAACAUUUCCCUUGAAAACGAUUGCACCACUGCAAAGCGAUUAACUCCAACCAAAACAUGUGAUGAUGGUAUUUGUUUUACCAACACACCAUUAGUGAAUGGCACAGUUUAUGAAAUACAAGUAGACGAGCUAGUUAACAAAUGGAUUACAUCACUUGCCUUAGGU
rnacentral:lncRNA from 1 species